rnacentral:lncRNA from 1 species
CGCCCUCAGGCCUCAGGACGGGACAGGGAGGAGGAGAGAGGAAGGGGCCGCCAGCGGCGGGCGGGAUUCUGCGAGGCGCGUGAAGCCUCGCUGGCGCCUCGUCCGCGAUCCAGACGCUGGCGGGCGCGGAGUUUCUCACGACCGGCCGAGCCCGCCUCUGCUGACUACAUUUCAAAAAGCAUCAACUUUUCUCGAUGGACCCAUUCAUCAAAUGAAAUAUGCCUGUUCUAUUUUCAAAGCUUUGUACUUCAUCAUGGAAAAAUUUAUCCCCCCCCAAAAUGAAAAUGAGGACAUUUGAGAACGUGAUUUAAGGUGUAGAUGUUUGAGAAAGUGUCCCGUCAAAUCAGUGAACCAAAGGAUAAAUACUGAAUAGAUUAAUCCUAAACAUUUACCAGGAGGAUUUCAUCUUGUCAGAAAACUUCUAUUCAGUAUGUAUUUUCUGAAAUUAAAAGAGACAAGAAUAGACUUAGAAGAAAAUAGAUGAAGUUGUUUAGUAAAUAAGCAAUGUCAUCUCCUUUCCGAUGAGGCUAAUCAGUGACGUUAAAUUCUUUCCAAAUCCCUAGUUGUGGACCUAAAA